rnacentral:rRNA from 1 species
GACGAACGCUGGCGGCGUGCCUAAUACAUGCAAGUUGAGCGCUGAAGGUUGGUACUUGUACCAACUGGAUGAGCAGCGAACGGGUGAGUAACGCGUGGGGAAUCUGCCCUUGAGCGGGGGACAACAUUUGGAAACGAAUGCUAAUACCGCAUAAAAACUUUAAACACAAGUUUUAAGUUUGAAAGAUGCAAUUGCAUCACUCAAAGAUGAUCCCGCGUUGUAUUAGCUAGUUGGUGAGGUAAAGACUCACCAAGGCGAUGAUACAUAGCCGACCUGAGAGGGUGAUCGGCCAAAUUGGGACUGAGACACGGCCCAAACUCCUACGGGAGGCAGCAGUAGGGAAUCUUCGGCAAUGGACGAAAGUCUGACCGAGCAACGCCGCGUGAGUGAAGAAGGUUUUCGGAUCGUAAAACUCUGUUGGUAGAGAAGAACGUUGGUGAGAGUGGAAAGCUCAUCAAGUGACGGUAACUACCCAGAAAGGGACGGCUAACUACGUG